UUUACCAAAAAAAAAACCCUAUGUUAAACCAAAACGACCAAACCAAUCCUCCGCCUCCUCCCCUGCUCUCGCCAUCGCCCGCACAACCCCACCCAAUCCCUCGCUCGCUCGACCAGAUCCAAGACGGCAGCGGCGGCCGGGGAGCGGACCGCGCGGGAGGAGGAGUUCGGCGAGCGCGAGCUGAAGGUGGUCGCCGUUCUCGCGGAUCUGCCAUCCAUCGUGCGGGUCAGCAGCCGCCAGCAGCAGCAGCAGCAGCAGGCGUGGCCGGAGAUCCCCUCGUGGGGCCGGCGCCGGCCGAGGAAGGCCCUGGCGGCGCCGCCGGCCGAGAAGCCCGCGGCCGAUGACGAUAGGAGCGAGGGCGUUGCCAGCCCGGACACCCCGCUCGCCUUCUCCGAGGGCGACGACCACGACGAGGCAGCGGCGGCGGAGGACGAGUCCAAGGCCAGCGCGCAGGACAAGGUGAGCCGCCAGGCCACGAGAUCAGCGCCCGCCCGCCUCCCUCCGCCAAUUAGGGCCGUGGGGAGGUUGGUGCUCUCACUCCUGCCGAACGCUCGCCUCACGCGCGAAUAUGGACAAGGUUGUUAGAUGGAAGGACAAGGCAGCGGCAGUGGAGACGGGGAGUCGAUUAGGAAGGAAAAAGAGUUUGUACAACUGCUGCUCAGUGCGAAAAACAGAGGUAAAUAAAUUUAUUGUUCAGGUGGCGAGAUUUAGUCUCCCUUCUUUGUAUUCAGCGAUGAACUACUGAAUGGUGUUGAUAAAUUCAUGGCAUGAGUUGUCGAGGAGGACAUCAAAGUGUGGGAGGUUGCAGCCUUGCAGGAGAUUAGCCUUACCUUGGCAAAUUAGCUUGCGGCCCUAAAGCUGUAUGUUUCCUUAAUCUGAAGUGUGCACAAAUAUUUGUGUUUAAUGAGUGAAAUGUAUCCGUUUGACUGACAUGAACCUUUAGGAAAGACAGAUCCUAAAGUUGGCUUCACUUGGUAGUAACUAUGGAAACCUCAAGAAUGUUGUUGAGGUCCUGAAGGCUUUUGAGUUGUAUUGUCAGGUCCCUCUGUUACUUAAAACCAACAAGGAACUUUAUCAUUUUUCCCUGACACUGUAAGCUUGAUAGAAUACACUGUAUGCCACUACAUGUUGUCUCAUUAUUUUCGUGUGCUUUUCUUAAAAUGUGUGUGAUGAUUGUCGCUAACAAUGUCGGAAAGAUUCCAACAGAAAAUAAAUUUCUCUGUAGUGAACCCUCUAAGCAAAAAGAAAAGAGAAUCACUUAUUCAUCAUUGAUUAAAUCUAUUUAAGAGUUAUAAUUUUUUUGUUGAUAAUCUUCAGUGUAAACUCUAUUAUUUUUUGCUUCAUUGCCAGGUUUAUGCACUUUUCCCAUGGUAUAAUAUAAGAAACAAAAUCAAUUUAUUGGAUCACAAUCAUAUCUCGGAGUAUCUGCAGCACUGUAAGUGAUCUUGUAUAGUUGGAAUGUUACAUUUCACUUUAAUUGCUUUGCUGAAUGUGCGGACUAAGAAAAUUUCAGUUUCUCCUGUCAUCAAUAAGUGUUAUAAGAUUUAGAUUAUUAAAUUCAGGAAAAAUUCAAAAUAUAUGAGAGCACUAACCAUGUUUCGGUUCCUUGACUGAGGACGUACGAACUUGCAAAAAGCACGAGCAUAGAAGCGAAACAAGGAGAUUAUUGAAGGGGAUUAAGCUUCCAAGUGCGGCAACUAGGAACAUCUCGAUCGGUGAUUUGAAGUGUGUUCUUCAAUAGCAUGGUGCAUGGAUAUUUGCACGUGUUCUCCUGAUGCAACACAAGCUAUUUAAUUAGUCAUAGAACUACAUACAAGGCUCUGAUGCAAAAAAGGUUUUAUCAGGCAUGAAGGUGGCGUGGGCCAGCAAGGAGCCUGGGGGUUCAGCAGGACAUCCUUGCCGGAGUAGUCGAGCAGAGGCUGACACUGGCCAAUAUGAGCAGCAUUGCCGCAGAUCGCCUCCAUGUGGGCUGCUGUUGCAAAGUCACUGUGCUGCACCUCAGCGAAUUUAGUAGGAGUAAUUCAUUCCCCACCAGAUUGUUUAUUAUUGACCAUUGCUGCUUCAUCUGUUAUUCUCAUCUAACUAAUAUAUUUACGGACUUUUUGGA